UACGUAGGGUGCGAGCGUUAAUCGGAAUUACUGGGCGUAAAGCGUGCGCAGGCGGUUUUGUAAGGCAGAUGUGAAAUCCCCGGGCUUAACCUGGGAACUGCGUUUGAAACUACAAGGCUAGAGUGUAGCAGAGGGGGGUGGAAUUCCACGUGUAGCAGUGAAAUGCGUAGAGAUGUGGAGGAACACCGAUGGCGAAGGCAGCCCCCUGGGUUAACACUGACGCUCAGGCACGAAAGCGUGGGGAGCAAACAGG
rnacentral:rRNA from 1 species